CAUUUUUAGGUGUCUACAGUAAGUGACACUACAGUUAGGCCAAAAAGGCUAAGGGUGUGGAAAUAUAUUAAAAAAGUCAAAUAAUCACUACCACAAAAAGUGGCAAAAGUAACACAUAAUACUUAACUAUUAAGUUGGACAGGCGUUCUCUAGAAGUAAAUAGAACGCCUUUGUUAGAGGAUAGCUUUAUAUGUUGAAUCAAAUAGAACGCCCCUCAUUAAGAACAGUUUAAUAUAAUUUACCAUAAUAAAAAUAAAAAUAAAAUAAAAUAUGGAUAUACAUUAUAGAACGGUGUUCUAUUUUGACAGUUCCCACUUGAUUUGUCAGUUAUUAUUUUAUUUCAACCACUCCCUACUAGUUAAAACCUAAUCCCCCUAAUUUUCACUUAGCUUCUAGCCUUCUACCGCCUCCUCUUUCUUCAUUUUCUCUAUAGCUCCUCCUCUUCAAUGAAAUUUUGCUUCUUUCAUCUUUAGAUCCCUCUAUGCUUUCUUUCAUCUCCAACAUAAUCUAGAGGUUUCUAUUUCAAUAAUUCCUUUUCCGACCCCCCUUUUCAUUCGAGUGCGAAAUCAAUUUCGAUCCAUGAUUCUCCCACAAGCCCAGAUUGGAACCUUCGAAUUACUUUCUCCAUGGAAAGCAUUCCCCGUGAAUCUAAGCGCUACAAGCACCGCCAUCACCGCCACCACUACUGCCAUAGAAGCUCCAUCACCAUCACCUUCACCUUCACCUUCGUUGCAUAGCCACCGCCUCGGGUUGUUAGAUUGCAUCGUCCUACUUCAACAAGAGCAUUUAAAAUUCGAUUUUUGGGAGGGAUUUACAUAAUAAGGUUUUGAAGUAAAGGAGCUUGAUACAACGUAAAUUGAUUUGGUGAUUUUGGUCGUAUCAGCUGGGAUAAUUCUAGAGAUCGGAGUUGGUUUUUAGCAUCUAAUAUGAACUGUAAUUUUGAUUAUACUAGAUUGAUUUUGUACCUGAUUUCAUUUUCUAUGUAUAUUAUUAUUGAGUUGAAUUGAAAUCUUAAUUCAUUAGUCCAUUUGUAAAUUCUUGAUUAAAGUUAAUAAUGCAUUAGUUUUCUUACUUA